GGAGGAGUGGCCGAGUGGUUUAAGGCAACGGUCUUGAAAACCGUCAAUGGGCAACUGUUCGAGAGUUCGAAUCUCUCCUCCUCCA
rnacentral:tRNA from 1 species